UACGUAGGUGGCUAGCGUUGUCCGGAUUUACUGGGCGUAAAGAGCGCGCAGGCGGUCGUUCAAGUCGAGUGUGAAAGCCCCCGGCUCAACUGGGGAGGGUCACUCGAUACUGAUCGACUUGAAGGCAGGAGAGGGAAGCGGAAUUCCCGGUGUAGUGGUGAAAUGCGUAGAUAUCGGGAGGAACACCAGUGGCGAAGGCGGCUUUCGUGGCC
rnacentral:rRNA from 1 species